rnacentral:rRNA from 1 species
GUACGUUAGUCGGCGGACGGGUGGAGUAACACGUGGGUAACCUACCUAUAAGACUGGGAUAACUUCGGGAAACCGGAGCUAAUACCGGAUAAUAUUUCGAACCGCAUGGUUCGAUAGUGAAAGAUGGUUUUGCUAUCACUUAUAGAUGGACCCGCGCCGUAUUAGCUAGUUGGUAAGGUAACGGCUUACCAAGGCGACGAUACGUAGCCGACCUGAGAGGGUGAUCGGCCACACUGGAACUGAGACACGGUCCAGACUCCUACGGGAGGCAGCAGAG